rnacentral:rRNA from 1 species
UACGAAGGGGGCUAGCGUUGCUCGGAAUCACUGGGCGUAAAGGGUGCGUAGGCGGGUUAUUAAGUCAGAAGUGAAAUCCUGGAGCUCAACUCCAGAACUGCCUUUGAUACUGAUAGUCUUGAGUAUGGGAGAGGUGAGUGGAACUGCGAGUGUAGAGGUGAAAUUCGUAGAUAUUCGCAAGAACACCAGUGGCGAAGGCGGCUCACUGGCCCAUUACUGACGCUGAGGCACGAAAGCGUGGGGAGCAAACAGG